rnacentral:rRNA from 1 species
UACGAAGGGUGCAAACGUUGCUCGGAAUCAUUGGGCGUAAAGCGCACGUAGGCGGCCCCAUAAGUCUGAUGUGAAAUCCCACGGCUCAACCGUGGAAGUGCAUCCGAAACUGCGGGGCUCGAGUAUGGAAGAGGGUCGCAGAAUUCCCGGUGUAGAGGUGAAAUUCGUAGAUAUCGGGAGGAAUACCAGUGGCGAAGGCGGCAUCCUGGACCAAUAUUGACGCUGAGGAGCGAAAGCCAGGGGAGCAAACGGG